UCCUCCACAGGACUGCGCUUCGCUCUGCUCCUGCGCUCCGUUUGACAACGCGCUGCGGCUCGCGCGGUGUUUAUAAUAAACUUGGCAGAGCGCGAGACAAUAGCGAGGCGGUGGUCUAGUUUCCAUGACAAUACCACCAGAGAGUGAGCGUGGACACCCCCACCCAGCCGCCCCCUCCCACCGCACUCUGCACCGCCCACGCGCUGCAGAGCACCGGGAGCUCGCAGGUGCGUAAAAUCCGUCCAAAAAGCAGCGGGUUCUCCCUUUAAUCCAAUGUUAAGGCAAUUCUGGCCGUCUGAUGAAACAGUCAGCUCCCAGGCCUUCCGUCUGUUGUGCGUCCUCGUCCCGUCUGCUGGGUUCAGAGCAGAGGAGAUAAAGGAGAAUAUCAGGACAAGAGGAUGACAGAGACAGACAGACAGACAGAUGGACAUGAGGAAGAGACAACCCUGCGAAGCACCAGAGCAUGCCACGGUGAUGGACGAGACCCCUUCACAUUAACAUGCAUCAACAGAAUUCACAAUUCACAUGGCAGUUAUAUUACCCAUCAUCCCAUGAGCUGCUUUACAUUUCUGCUUAGUGUUUCAUUCUUUACUGAAAUGAAACAAAAUGCAGGUUUUGUUUGCUUUGUACAAACAUCUAUCAGUGAAGCUCUGCUGGUGAGGAAAUGUGCAUUUAAGUGAAUACACAGGCAACACUCUGUCUUUGGUUGUUCAUACUUCCUGUUCCUUCACAAACAAUAGACAAAGACUGGCAAAAUAAUUCAUUUGUGUUAUAAUAAAUGACUUAUUUAAGUGA